CUUGUACUCCCUCCGUCCAAAAAUACUUGUCAUUGAAAUGGAUGUAUCUAGAUGUAUUUUAGUUCUAGACACAUCCAUUUUGAUGANCACAUCCAUUUUGAUGACAAGUAAUUCCGGACGGAGGGAGUACUUG
rfam:Triticum aestivum genome assembly, contig: Triticum_aestivum_CS42_TGACv1_scaffold_087730_1DS